rnacentral:lncRNA from 1 species
GGGAGGAUCGCUUGAGCCUGGGAGGUCGAGGCUGCCAUGAGCAGUGACUGCGCCAAUGCACUCCAUCCAGCCUAGGCAAUAGUAGUAUCUUGUCUCAAAAGAAAAAAAAAAAAGAAAAUUGUCUAUUUCUAAAAACCUGUAUUUAAACCUCAUCAUUUCCCCUCAAACAAGUAGCUUGUAUAAAAUUACUCAUAACAUGAACAUGCUAAAGAAAUUCUUUUGAAUGAUGAAAAGUUACUUUGUACAUUAUAUUAAAAUUUAUUUUCUAUGUAUACCCAAAUUUUCAAGUAUUAGAUUUACUUAGAAAUUCACCAGUGUUAUCAUUAUACAAUUGGCUGGAAUUAACAGUUGCAAUACAGUUAUUCUAGCUUUUCAUAUUCAAUUUGAAUGAUCAGAAAAGUAUAUUAGUCACACAGAAUUAAAUAUUUUAGAUAGUAAGAAUCUUACACUUUAUUAGAUAAUAAAACAUAAUUGAUAUUUGCUUAAGUAACAAAAAAGUUAAGAAAUUGGGUUAUAAGCAAAGGAACAUAAGUGUAAAAUGUGUAGAAAGAUAAAUAUUUUCCAAAUAAAAUUCUAAUAAAAGGCUAAACAUUCUCAAAUAUUUUACAUACAUGAAGAAUAAAUUAUUUCUGGUUAACAUGUUUUUGCCUUAGUGCCAAAAAAGCCAGAACAAAUUUGAUAAGCUCACAUUAAAAUCAAAGUUUUCUAGAUAUGAAUUCUAUAUACCAUCUCUAUAUUUGUUUAGAAUUUUGCAAAAUUCUUAGAAGAUUGCAUGUUAGGGUGGGGGAAGAUAAAUGCUUGCCAAUACUGACAUGGUUAAUUAACAGACAGGCUUGAAAGGAGAAGGCUAGAAGAGGGAAGAUUAUGUCACUAAGCAUAGCUACAAAAGGAAAAGCCACAUGGAAGCAGAGACAAAGGCAAUCCCGACACACAGAGGCAUGUUUGUUGCGGCUCAGGGUUUCUGUUUUUCAAGUGUUCAGAGACGAAUUCCAGCAAGACUUCUGGUUUGAGUCAAGCCUUUCAACCGAGGUGCUUGGCAUACUUAACGGAAAAAGCGAGUACAUUCAGAUUUAGUUUUGCUAGAUAUUAAACUAGAAAACUGGAUGACAGUAAAACCAAUACAGAAACAAAAAGUCAUGUUUCCAGUAAAGAACCGUACACACAAGCAGGUUUUGCUUAUUAAUGUAGCAGGAGAGCAUGGAAAUCGGAGUUCAGACUCUUUAGAAAAGACAAAAGGCAGGGGAGGGGAGAGAAGAAAAGGAGGAAUGCAGAGAAGCCCUCCAAGAAUGAUGAGUGAUUCGUGCAGGAGAGGGAAAUACAGACGUUCCGUCCAUGUGAGAUUCUGCUUCAGGUAUUGGACAUCGUUCCCUCCACCUGCACCUAGAGGAUAUGUGUUCAGGAUCUCGCUAUGGUUAGUUACCCAUGUGCUAGACAUAGGUUGCUAGCUAGAAGUUUUGCCAGCCAUCUUCCCCCCUCCUAGUGCUAAUGCCUAAUUUCCUAAAGUAAUCUGAAUCCUUAUAAGCCAGGGUAGCUCAGGAGGUUCUAUUUACUUAUUUAUUUAUUUUGAGACAGAGUCUCACUGUGUCGCCCAGGCAGAUCUCGUCUGGGCCCGAGUCUCGUUGCAGUGGUGUAAUCUCUGCUCACUGCAACCUCUGCCUCCCAGGUUCAUGCAAUUUUCCUGUCUCAGCCUCCCGAGUAGCUAGGAUUACAGGGGUGUGCCACCACGCCUGGCUAAUUUUUCUAUUUUUAGUAGCGAGAGCAUUUCGUCAUGUUGGCCAGUCUGGUCUCCAACUCCUGACCUCAGGUGAUCUGCCUGCCUUGGCCUCCCAAAGUGCUGGGAUUAUAGGCAUGAGCCACCGCACCCAGCAUCAGUAAGUUUUAAUAUUACGUCUAGUCGGCUCACGGGUGCUUGAGCCAGAAGUGGGAAGGGUACACUUGUAUUUUGGGCUCAAAUGGUUUUCAAAUAAAAUACAUCUGACCAAAUAAAGUGAACACAGUCCUGAGCCCUCCUCUCUCCAGAUAUGCAUGCAAUCCACACCAUCAAAAGAAGAGUUCACUGUUCCCAAGGCCAAGAAGAGGCUAUGCUGUACUGCAAAGAACUCUAUAGCAAAAUCGAACACCCAAAUUAAGUGCCAGAAUGAUGCAGCCCGCUCUCACCAGGAAGAACGACAUGUGAGAAAACUUAUAGCAGAUGCAAAAAUGUCAACCCACCAUGUUAUUUAAAAAAAAAUUUUAUCAGGAUACAAGGACACUUCACUGUUUUUAACCCACACAAGGUUAGGUAAUGCCACCAGUGGAGGAUUAUUACAGUUCUCAAAUCAUGAGGGAAAGAGAUGGAGAAGAGGGAGGGAGGAGGGAAAAUCUUGCAUUCUAAGAGGUAAGAGUCCCCAUUACAAUUGCAAUGCUUCUUUAGACAGCUGAUUUUUCUGGCUGGAAGGCACAUUAAAAAUAACCCUAACAAUAACUUACCAAGACAAUGGAAAUCAAAAGAAAAGAAGGUAGACGUGCAGCUGUCUUAUUAACAUGACAACCAACUACAGCUGAAACAAUACUAUGGUACAGGGACUAGCUCAUGUUAAAGACUGGUUAUUUAGGUAAAGAGGAUCUGGUGCUCUUGGUUUAGCUUCAGUGAUUUUCCAGCACUUAUUAAAGCCAUUGUGCCCUGAACAUGGAGACCCCCAAAUCCUCUAUGUGCCAAAGAUUAAGUUGUAGAGAAUUACAUCAAUGUUUGCUGUUGGUGUGCACCACAGAUGAGACCAAGCUUCCUGGUCCGGCUAAGUGGAAUCUUCCAUGCACUGUGCACCACUCAGCUAGAAAGUCAACUAAGCAGAAAGGAGAUAAGGAAUGGCUAUGGAAUACCUGACUUCUUUAUCUUGGUUAUGUGUCCACAAUUUUCAUAAAAAUAAAUAAUACACAUUAAGUCAAAAUCUGGGCUCAAAUGUGUAACAAGAAAACAAAAGGACAACAAUCUGGUAUUCCGGUUUUUUUUUUUUUUUUGAGACGGAGUCUCGCUCUGUUGCCCAGGCUGGAGUGCAGUGACGUGAUCUCGGCUCACUACAAGCUCCGCCUCCCAGGUUCACACCUUAGCCUCCCGAGUAGCUGGGACUACAGGCGCCCGCCACCACGCCCGCCUAAUGUUUUAAUUUUUUAGUAGAGACGGGGUUUCACCGUGUUGGCCAGGCUGGUCUCGAACUCCUGACCUCAGGUAAUCCACCUGCCUCAGCCUCCCAAAGUGCUGGAAUUACAGGUGUGAGCCACCGCACCCAGCCAACAAUCUGGUAUUCUUAAGGCAAAACAGUAGAAAUCACUUUAAAUAGACACUUUAUUAGAUCCACAGGCGAUAAAAUCCCAGAGCUACUGUUAGGCACGUAAAUAUAGACCCUGUAAGAAAAAAACAAUUGAGAGUACUAUUAGUUCUAUUAAGAGUUACUUGAGGGAACAUCUUUUUUUAAGAAAACCUAAAAAAGAAAACCUAGAAACUUAGAUUGCUCACUGAUGUCCCAUAUUCCGUGAAACGCCUGCCUACUGAAAAAACAAAUCCCACACCCUUUAUUUUAUUUUCUUAUUUUAGAGACAUGGUCUCAUCUGGUACCCAGGAGGAGUGCACCAUGCAAUGGUAUGAUUACAGCUCACUGUGCCUCAAACUCCCGGGCUCAAGUGACCCUCCUGCCUCAGCCUCCCAAGAAGCUGAAGCUACAGGCAGAUGACACCAUGCCCGGCUAAAUCUUUUUGUAGAGACUAGGUCUCGCUGUGUUGCCUAGGCUAAGAAAACUUUUCAAUAAAAGUUUCGAAUAGCAAAAAUUCUGUGGUCACAAGGUCUAUGUAUAUGCACUAUAGAGACAGGAAGACACAAUUUAAUAUAAAGAACAACAUUUCACUGUUAAAUAAUGCUGUAACCUUAAAAUAUUUAAUUAAUCCAAGACGUUAAAUCUGACUUGAAAUAAUGGUUAAUUUGGGUGGGGGGUGGUACAUGAAUGUUCAUUCUCUCUUUUGGAUCAAAAAUCGCGAAAGUAAAAUAACUCCUUAAAAGGAGUUUAAGCAAUUGAAGCAGAAAGAUUACAACUGAAACACCUUCCAUUUUAUCCAUAAAAUAUUUCCUGUCUUGAAUCUCAUUAAAAUCCCUAAUAACUAUAGUUCAAUUAUAGUAUCUUAUCAAAUUUCCAAUUCUAUCAAUUAUAACGUACACAAUUACUUUAUUUACUACUAAGAAAGAAAAAGUGCCAAUUAAACUAUGAUACUUCAUCUACUGGAAAUUGUAAGAUGCUUUCCAAUUUCAGAGAUGUUAAAAUAUUUCAGAAAGUGUUGGAAUCAAUGAAAUGCAGUAUCUGUCAACGACUUAUUUUAUAAAUUUAUUUUCUUUUCAGGUUGAUUUAAAUAGAUACAAAAUAGCUUACCUGCUAAAUAUUUAAUAUU